rnacentral:rRNA from 1 species
GUUGUGAGGUUUAAGCGACUAAAGCGUACACGGUGGAUGCCCUGGCAGUCCAGGAGGCGAUGAAGGACGUGCUAAUCUGCGAUAAGCGUCGGUAAGGUGAUAUGAACCGUUAUAACCGGCGAUUUCCGAAUGGGGAAACCCAGUGUGAUUCGUCACACUAUCAUUAACUGAAUCCAUAGGUUAAUGAGGCGAAACCGGGGGAACUGAAACAUCUAAGUACCCCGAGGAAAAGAAAUCAACCGAGAUUCCCCAGUAGCGGCGAGCGAACGGGGGAGGAGCCCAGAGCCUGAAUCAGUGUGUGUGUUAGUGGAAGCGUCUGGAAAGGCGCGCGAUACAGGGUGACAGCCCCGGUACACAAAAAUGCACAUACUGUGAGCUCGAUGAGUAGGGCGGGACACGUGGUACUCCUGUCUGAAUAUGGGGGGACCAUCCUCCAAGGGCUAAAAUACUCCUGACUGACCGAUAGUGAACCAGUACCGUGAGGGAAAGGCGAAAAGAACCCCGGCGAGGGGGAGUGAAAAAGAACCUGAAACCGUGUACGUACAACAGUGGGAGCACGCUUCGGCGUGUGACUGCGUACCUUUUGUAUAAUGGGUCAGCGACUUAUAUUCUGUAGCAAGGUUAACCGAAUAGGGGAGCCGAAGGGAAACCGAGUCUUAACUGGGCGUUAAGUUGCAGGGUAUAGGACCCGAAACCCGGUGAUCUAGCCAUGGGCAGGUUGAAGGUUGGUAAACACUAACUGGAGGACCGGAACCGACUAAUGUUGAAAAAUUAGCGGAUGACUUGUGGCUGGGGGUGAAAGGCCAAUCAAACCGGGAGAUAGCUGGUUCUCCCCGAAAGCUAUUUAGGUAGCGCCUCGUGAAUUCAUCUCCGGGGGUAGAGCACUGUUUCGGCAAGGGGGUCAUCCCGACUUACCAACCCGAUGCAAACUGCGAAUACCGGAGAAUGUUAUCACGGGAGACACACGGCGGGUGCUAACGUCCGUCGUGAAGAGGGAAACAACCCAGACCGCCAGCUAAGGUCCCAAAGUCAUGGUUAAGUGGGAAACGAUGUGGGAAGGCCCAGACAGCCAGGAUGUUGGCUUAGAAGCAGCCAUCAUUUAAAGAAAGCGUAAUAGCUCACUGGUCGAGUCGGCCUGCGCGGAAGAUGUAACGGGGCUAAACCAUGCACCGAAGCUGCGGCAGCGACACUAUGUGUUGUUGGGUAGGGGAGCGUUCUGUAAGCCUGCGAAGGUGGCCUGGUGAGGGUUGCUGGAGGUAUCAGAAGUGCGAAUGCUGACAUAAGUAACGAUAAAGCGGGUGAAAAGCCCGCUCGCCGGAAGACCAAGGGUUCCUGUCCAACGUUAAUCGGGGCAGGGUGAGUCGACCCCUAAGGCGAGGCCGAAAGGCGUAGUCGAUGGGAAACAGGUUAAUAUUCCUGUACUUGGUGUUACUGCGAAGGGGGACGGAGAAGGCUAUGUUGGCCGGGCGACGGUUGUCCCGGUUUAAGCGUGUAGGCUGGUUUUCCAGGCAAAUCCGGAAAAUCAAGGCUGAGGCGUGAUGACGAGGCACUACGGUGCUGAAGCAACAAAUGCCCUGCUUCCAGGAAAAGCCUCUAAGCAUCAGGUAACAUCAAAUCGUACCCCAAACCGACACAGGUGGUCAGGUAGAGAAUACCAAGGCGCUUGAGAGAACUCGGGUGAAGGAACUAGGCAAAAUGGUGCCGUAACUUCGGGAGAAGGCACGCUGAUACGUAGGUGAAGUCCCUCGCGGAUGGAGCUGAAAUCAGUCGAAGAUACCAGCUGGCUGCAACUGUUUAUUAAAAACACAGCACUGUGCAAACACGAAAGUGGACGUAUACGGUGUGACGCCUGCCCGGUGCCGGAAGGUUAAUUGAUGGGGUUAGCGGUAACGCGAAGCUCUUGAUCGAAGCCCCGGUAAACGGCGGCCGUAACUAUAACGGUCCUAAGGUAGCGAAAUUCCUUGUCGGGUAAGUUCCGACCUGCACGAAUGGCGUAAUGAUGGCCAGGCUGUCUCCACCCGAGACUCAGUGAAAUUGAACUCGCUGUGAAGAUGCAGUGUACCCGCGGCAAGACGGAAAGACCCCGUGAACCUUUACUAUAGCUUGACACUGAACAUUGAGCCUUGAUGUGUAGGAUAGGUGGGAGGCUUUGAAGUGUGGACGCCAGUCUGCAUGGAGCCGACCUUGAAAUACCACCCUUUAAUGUUUGAUGUUCUAACGUUGACCCGUUAUCCGGGUUGCGGACAGUGUCUGGUGGGUAGUUUGACUGGGGCGGUCUCCUCCUAAAGAGUAACGGAGGAGCACGAAGGUUGGCUAAUCCUGGUCGGACAUCAGGAGGUUAGUGCAAUGGCAUAAGCCAGCUUGACUGCGAGCGUGACGGCGCGAGCAGGUGCGAAAGCAGGUCAUAGUGAUCCGGUGGUUCUGAAUGGAAGGGCCAUCGCUCAACGGAUAAAAGGUACUCCGGGGAUAACAGGCUGAUACCGCCCAAGAGUUCAUAUCGACGGCGGUGUUUGGCACCUCGAUGUCGGCUCAUCACAUCCUGGGGCUGAAGUAGGUCCCAAGGGUAUGGCUGUUCGCCAUUUAAAGUGGUACGCGAGCUGGGUUUAGAACGUCGUGAGACAGUUCGGUCCCUAUCUGCCGUGGGCGCUGGAGAACUGAGGGGGGCUGCUCCUAGUACGAGAGGACCGGAGUGGACGCAUCACUGGUGUUCGGGUUGUCAUGCCAAUGGCACUGCCCGGUAGCUAAAUGCGGAAGAGAUAAGUGCUGAAAGCAUCUAAGCACGAAACUUGCCCCGAGAUGAGUUCUCCCUGACUCCCUGAGAGUCCUGAAGGAACGUUGAAGACGACGACGUUGAUAGGCCGGGUGUGUAAGCGCAGCGAUGCGUUGAGCUAACCGGUACUAAUGAACCGUGAGGCUUAACCUUACAACGCCGAAG